CCUACGGGGGGCUGCAGUGGGGAAAAUUGGACAAUGGGGGGAACCCUGAUCCAGCCAUGCCGCGUGUGUGAAGAAGGCCCUCGGGUUGUAAAGCACUUUCAGUGAGGAAGAACGCCUGGUGGUUAAUACCCAUCAGGAAAGACAUCACUCACAGAAGAAGCACCGGCUAACUCCGUGCCAGCAGCCGCGGUAAUACGGAGGGUGCGAGCGUUAAUCGGAAUUACUGGGCGUAAAGCGCGCGUAGGUGGCUUGAUAAGCCGGUUGUGAAAGCCCCGGGCUCAACCUGGGAACGGCAUCCGGAACUGUCAAGCUAGAGUGCAGGAGAGGAAGGUAGAAUUCCCGGUGUAGCGGUGAAAUGCGUAGAGAUCGGGAGGAAUACCAGUGGCGAAGGCGGCCUUCUGGACUGACACUGACACUGAGGUGCGAAAGCGUGGGUAGCAAACAGGAUUAGAUACCCGAGUAGUC
rnacentral:rRNA from 1 species